ACCGUCAAACGUUGUCCUGCGGAGCUUUGGAGUGUGACAAUGGUGUUUGUGUCCUGUGUAUCAAACGCCAUUAUCACACUAAAUAGCUACGGUGUGAAAUGGGCCUC
rnacentral:miRNA from 1 species